UACGGGUUUUGGAACGACAUGGGGGUAAGUGAUUAAUGAUAAAAUUUUCAUUUUGGGGUGGAGUAUCCCUUUAAUACAUCAUUGGAAUGUUUUUUAAUACUGGUGGGCUAAUAGUUUACAAUAUGGUUCAGUACUUGUAUUUAAGAUGUUUAAAACAAGAAUAAGCAUGUAAACAAUGGAUAGUAGUAUAUUUAUCAAAUAAAAUUAACCUAGACGCAUAAAUGCAUUAAUUAAUGCAAAUAACUAAUGAUAAACAAACUGUAAGAUUUUCAUUUUAUUAUUGUUGCAAAGAACUGAAUGAAAAAUAGGGUAAAAUAUCAAGGUCACAGUCAGGUUAAAGGACUACUAUCCCCAGUCAUCUACAUGAAGGGUCAAAUAUGAAGUGAAUGUAUUAUCUGAUCAUGUUUUAGUCAAGUUUCUAUGUGCUUUUGCCAAAUUGGGACACAGAGGAGAUCUACUGGUAUGUUAAACAUCAACCAUUUCGAAAUGAAACAUUUACAUGAAGAGAGCGGGAUGUUUGAAUGUUGCAUUUUGAAGUAUCGCCUAUGCUUCCCACAGAAAGUCAGUUCAGGACGUUUUGAACCCAAACUUGCACUGCAGUACUGUGCCUGUAGUUACUGUAUGAGUAUCAUAUUUAUAAUAAUCAGUUACUGAGAUUCAUCCGAAGGUAUACUUGUGUGGUGUACUUUUUGGCUUCCAUUCUUCAAUUCUUUUAUUGUAGAAAAUUCAGAGGCCUUGUUACAGAGGAGACGGUGAGUGUCUCUGGUUUACAGUAGUGCUGCCAAAUGAGUGGACUGCCCCAUACAACGCCAUCGAUAGUUAUGAUUGUUUCCAUGGGACCAUUUUGUUGUCUUUUGUCUUUCUCUUAUGUUUUAUUUUUAUUGGGUAUAGAAGGUUUAUAUUUUAUAAACUACAUUAUUUGCAAUUAAAAUGCUUAUGUACUUCCUUUGACCCAAAUAUUGUGAUUUCUAAUUUUUUUUUAAUUACAUUUUGUUGUGCAUAAAAUCAACAUGAAUAAAGAUUUCUAUCAUCUGAAUCUUUUGUUCAAAGCACCAGAUGGGCAUGAUGAACCAAAAAUAUCUACUAUUAAUAACAUGUAACCAAAGGUUGAAGAAGGGUCAUAUGGGGCAAUAGCUCUAAAGGCUUAUAUACUAGCAUUGCUCUUUGGUCGGUGGCGCACUGAACUGCUUUGCUUCUAUGGUUUACAAUAGCAUCUUAAGUAAGUGUAGAUUUAUCUUUUCAUCUUGAAGGUUUGUGUGGUAGGUAGGUUUUUUUUUUUUCUUCUUCUUUCUUUCUUUCUUUCUUCUCCAGAUCAGUUCUGCCAUCCACAUCCAGCAACUGUUUGGCGACACAUCCAACAAAAGGAUGUCCGGCAUCAAGGCCUUAAUCACUGUUUAAGGUUAAAGUAUCUCAUAAUGUGUUUUGGAUCUGUGUGUGUAUAGGAUUUACAGUUAUGAUGAAAAGAGUUAAUAAAACAUUCAGUCUUUCUCA